rnacentral:rRNA from 1 species
AUGGGCCCUAAAUCGUCCAACCUAAGAAACGUCCUGGUCGUCAGCCUUUGGGCCCUCAUGCAUGUUUAUAUUUUGAUGAUUUGGGCCUUGCACGCACGUGAUUUCUUCCGGAGAUGGCCCCAACACCACGAAUCACAAAGAAAGCAUGAGUUUGCCGACCAAACUGGAUCAGAAAGAGCACGAGGGACAGCGGGUGGCGCUGCCGCCCCUCCUAGGCAGCCGAAGAACAGCCGCCGGCCGAAUCACGGGAUGCGGGUCGGCGAUGUUGGUGGUGACGCCGGGAUUGGAUGGAUCCGGGCACGGACGAUGGCUCCCCGUCUCCAGCGGCGGCUCGAGUCAUGGAGGCGAUGCAGGUCGGGCGUGAGGCGAGCUUGGGGAAAGGGAGAGCGGGCGUGGAGGAGGCAGGAGGGUUCACCGGCCGGAGGGGCGGGGUGCGGACGCAGCAAGGGGAUCGGGCGCAAGGAAAGAAAACAUCCACUCGUUCCGCCCCCCACACACCGUCUCCAGCACCAUCGAGAACGCCCGCCACCGUCCGGCACGCACCACCAGCCGCCCGGCCUCCCAGGCGGACGGGCGCGGCCGAGCUUCGCCACGCACAGGCGUGCGCGGGCGAGCUCCGCCCCAGCCACGCGCGGCGACUGCGAGCUCCGCCACGGCUCCUCCCCGUGUAGCUCGACGUGCAGAGGAGGCUGGUUCCGAGGCGAAGAGGGAGAGCCAGGCGACGAGCGGCGUGCCGAGGAGGACAAGCCCGACGGGCACCAUCCAGAGCUCCCUGACGACGACGCCGGCUGCUUCCUGACGACGACGACGCCGCCGCCGCCGACGGCUGCUACCCUCUGCGCGGACGACUUCUGCUCGUGCCCGUGCGAGGGGCUGGUGCCGCCCGUGCGUGGCUCAUCGUGCCGGGGCCGCCCGUGGCCGGCGCGCUCGGGGCCUCCUCCUCGUUCAUCUCCAGGUCGCCGGCGAAGCCUCAGCCAUCCGAGACCCCAGUCCCACCAGCGCUUGAGCGGGCCGCCCGCGAACUCGGCAGCGAGCGACGGCGCCAACCGGGUCCGCCGGAACGCCCACUCGGCGGACGCGGAGGAGAUGGGCUGGAUCUUGAAAGGGAGAGGAGAGGAGAAAGAAAAUAAAGAAAGGGGAGAGGAGAGGAGAGAGGGGAGAGAGGGGCUGACGAGUGGCCCUAUGCAUGCAAAAUGCGCCGCCGCCGCGCGCCGCGACCACCGGCCCCCACCCCUCCGCCGCGUGCCGCCACUGCCGGCCAACGCCGCCGCGCCCACCCCUACCCGACGUGCCUCCAUCCCUGCGGUUUUCCACCGCCGGCGACAAUCAAAGCCGGCUCCGCACCUUCCCCAACUCAUCUUUCCCCUGCUCCUCUGUCGCUGCCGCUCUCCAUCGGCCGACCAACUCCCCCGAGUCAGCGCCGCCUCCUCCAUCUGGUUCCUGCUCGAUCUCCUCCAGGUACAGAUCAUCCACAAUCUCUCGCGACGGGAGAGGAGCCUCCGCGUGCUUCUUGUCGGGCGACAGCGCAGCCGUGCACCCUUGACGCCGCUCUUCCACGUGAGGAGAUACUGCCUGCGGCUCGGCCACCCCAACCCUAGGGCCGACGCCGUGGUCAUCGUCAAGAUCCCCUUCCCCUCUGACGGCGGUGGUGGCUGCGCGCUUCCCGUCGGCGGAUUCCACCACUACCUCCAGGUUGGGACUGGUGCGCGGGCGUCGACAUCUGUGUGCCCGAGAUCAUCAGAGUUGCAUCAGGCUGGCGCACAUCCUCCGCUACACCCCGACGCUGGAUGCGUCGACCUCAUCCCAUUGCCGCAGGAGAUAGAGGGCCCCCUGGACUGGGAUACCGGCGAGAUGGAGGGCAACUUCAGCGCUGACCAGAGAGCCAAGGUGGUGGUCGUGCUCUACAUGGUGCCCGGCGACCUUAACGGCCAGUUCCACGCCGAGAAGAUGGGCUACCACGAGAUGGUCCUGCUCCGCCCCCAGGGCGCCGCUGAGGUGGUCGUGCUGGCUGCCGAAUUCGAUAAUACUCGUAUUUCAUCCCCUGUGUCAGCUCAUUGGCGGAGUUCUUCUCUACAGGUAGCAGAAAAUCAUGCAACACACACGUUCAAUUAG